UGGGGAAUAUUGGACAAUGGGCGAAAGCCUGAUCCAGCCAUGCCGCGUGUGUGAAGAAGGUCUUCGGAUUGUAAAGCACUUUAAGUUGGGAGGAAGGGCAGUAAGCGAAUACCUUGCUGUUUUGACGUUACCGACAGAAUAAGCACCGGCUAACUCUGUGCCAGCAGCCGCGGUAAUACAGAGGGUGCAAGCGUUAAUCGGAAUUACUGGGCGUAAAGCGCGCGUAGGUGGUUCGUUAAGUUGAAUGUGAAAGCCCCGGGCUCAACCUGGGAACUUCAUCCAAAACUGGCGAGCUAGAGUGGGGCAGAGGGUAGUGGAAUUUCCUGUGUAGCGGUGAAAUGCGUAGAUAUAGGAAGGAACACCAGUGGCGAAGGCGACCACCUGGGCUCAUACUGACACUGAGGUGCGAAAGCGUGGGGAGCAAACAGG
rnacentral:rRNA from 1 species